UACGUAGGGUGCAAGCGUUAAUCGGAAUUACUGGGCGUAAAGCGUGCGCAGGCGGUUGUGCAAGACAGAUGUGAAAUCCCCGGGCUCAACCUGGGAACUGCAUUUGUGACUGCACGGCUGGAGUGCGGCAGAGGGGGAUGGAAUUCCGCGUGUAGCAGUGAAAUGCGUAGAUAUGCGGAGGAACACCGAUGGCGAAGGCAAUCCCCUGGGCCUGCACUGACGCUCAUGCACGAAAGCGUGGGGAGCAAACAAGG
rnacentral:rRNA from 1 species